GACGAACGCUGGCGGCGUGCUUAACACAUGCAAGUCGAACGGAAAGGCCCUGCUUUUGUGGGUUGCUCGAGUGGCGAACGGGUGAGUAACACGUGAGUAACCUGCCCUUGACUUUGGGAUAACUUCAGGAAACGGGGGCUAAUACCGGAUAGGAGCUCCUGCUGCAUGGUGGGGGUUGGAAAGUUUCGGCGGUUGGGGAUGGACUCGCGGCUUAUCAGCUUGUUGGUGGGGUAGUGGCUUACCAAGGCUUUGACGGGUAGCCGGCCUGGGAGGGUGGCCGGCCACAUUGGGACUGAGGUACGGCGCAGACUCCUACGGGAGGCAGCAGUGGGGAGUAUUGCACAAUGGGCGGAAGCCUGAUGCGGCAACGCCGCGUUCGGGAUGACGGCCUUCGGGUUGUAAACCGCUUUCGCCUGUGACGAAGCGUGAGUGACGGUAAUGGGUAAAGAAGCACCGGCUAACUACGUG
rnacentral:rRNA from 1 species